GGAUCCAGACUUUGAUCCUGGCUCAGGAUGAACGCUAGCUACAGGCUUAACACAUGCAAGUCGAGGGGCAGCAUGACGAUAGCUUGCUAUUGUUGAUGGCGACCGGCGCACGGGUGAGUAACGCGUAUCCAACCUGCCCUUGUCCAUCGGAUAACCUGUCGAAAGGCGGCCUAACACGAUAUGCAGUCCACAGAAGGCAUCUGACGCGGACGAAAUGUGAAGGAGAAGGAUGGGGAUGCGUCUGAUUAGCUUGUUGGCGGGGUAACGGCCCACCAAGGCGACGAUCAAUAGGGGUUCUGAGAGGAAGGUCCCCCACAUUGGAACUGAGACACGGUCCAAACUCCUACGGGAGGCAGCAGUGAGGAAUAUUGGUCAAUGGGCGAGAGCCUGAACCAGCCAAGUAGCGUGCAGGAUGACGGCCCUAUGGGUUGUAAACUGCUUUUAUGCGGGGAUAAAGUGAGCCACGUGUGGCUUAUUGCAGGUACCGCAUGAAUAAGGACCGGCUAAUUCCGUGCCAGCAGCCGCGGUAAUACGGAAGGUCCGGGCGUUAUCCGGAUUUAUUGGGUUUAAAGGGAGCGUAGGCCGUCUGAUAAGCGUGUUGUGAAAUGUCGGGGCUCAACCUGGGCAUUGCAGCGCGAACUGUGAGACUUGAGUGCGCGGGAAGUAGGCGGAAUUCGUCGUGUAGCGGUGAAAUGCUUAGAUAUGACGAAGAACUCCGGUUGCGAAGGCAGCCUGCUGUAGCGCAACUGACGCUGAAGCUCGAAAGCGUGGGUAUCGAACAGGAUUAGAUACCCUGGUAGUCCACGCGGUAAACGAUGGAUGCUCGCUGUUUGCGUCUGACGUAAGCGGCCAAGCGAAAGCGUUAAGCAUCCCACCUGGGGAGUACGCCGGCAACGGUGCAACUCAAAGGAAUUGACGG
rnacentral:rRNA from 1 species